rnacentral:lncRNA from 1 species
CUUCCGGAAGUCUGUGUCCUAGAAGUUAUCCCCGCACAAGCCACAGGAUUGCUGAGGCAGUGAAUUGAAGAGGCUGCGUAGUGCUUGCAACCAGUUACCAUAUUUCCCUGGAGGAAUCACCAGCAACCGACUCUCCCAGGACUUACGAGGUGCUUCCCUUAUCACCAGCCGUCUCAGCACAAGUAGUGGAUGAGAAUGACCAAGUUACUGGUCAUGUGGAUGAGCACAACCUACUCACUUUAGAAGAGUUUCCUUCUGGGCCGGAUGGGCAGGGUGGCUGACGCCUGUAAUCCCAGCACUUUGGGAGGUUGAGGCAGGAGGAUUGCUUGAGUCCAGGAGUUCAAAACCAGCCUGGGCAGCAUAGUGAGACCCCAUCUAUACUAAAGAUAAAAUUAGCCAACUGUGGUGGUGCUCACCUGUAAUCCAAGCUAUUUGGGAGGCUGAGGCAGGAGGGUCACUCGAGCCCAGGAGUUCGAGGCUGCAGUGAGCUGUGGUGACACCACCACACUCUAG